GAUUUCUGGCUUGAAACACUAAGCCGGCCACGGUUUCGUGUGUUAGUGCUUGGUGUUCUGGCCAUCCUUCCAAUCGCCAUCUACUUCUCUUCAUUGAUUAGUAGGUGGUAUUGGAUCUUUUACUUUGAAAAAAUUAGAGUGUUUCAAGCAGGCUAUUGCUAUGAAUACAUUAGCAUGGAAUAAUAAUUUAGGACUUUGGCCCUAUUUUGUUGGUUUCUAGGACUGAAGUAAUGAUUGAUAGGGAUAGUUGGGGGUGCUCGAAUUCAGCGGCCAGAGGUGAAAUUCUUGGAUUCGCUGAAGACGAACUCAUGCGAAAGCAUU
rnacentral:rRNA from 1 species